CACAGCAGCAGUUUUGUGGGGGUAAAGAAGAGAUGGCUCCCAGGCAGUGGGGUGAGCAGGGCUGCGUCUGUGAUUCCUCCAAGGAACCGUCCAGACUUUGGCUGAUGCUCCGAGUGGGGGGACUCAUGGGUGGGGUCCCCUGCCUGCCUCAUCCCCCCUCAACUGGCAGGCUCAGAGCUGUGUUGGGGAGAGAAGAACAUCCGUGCUGUGAUGAUGUAUAGCCUCCUGCUGCCCCCAGGAGCCCCGAGGCGGAGUGGGGAGAGGGGUAGGAAGGGGGACGGUCACGGAGAUGUCCUGGUCCAGGAAGAUCCGCCCCCCACCCAGCUCAUCUCACUUGAUGCUCGCGGCAGCUCUGUGCAGUCGACAUAAUUAACUCCAUUUUACAGAUGAAGAAACCAAUAUUCAAAGUGGUUAUGCGGCUUGUUCAAGAUUGUACAAUUAAUUAGGAGUGGAGAGUGGGCUCAUUAGCUUCUCCAAUGAGCCAAAGUGCCUGUGUGUCUCUCUCCGGGGCUUCUGUUUCCUUAGGUAUAAGAUGCAUGCCUUUCCCUCCUUCUGCCUCAAUGGUCUGCUCCCUCUGGGCUGCUCCGGCUCUCGCCACAGGGUCAGCUGGGGCUAAAUCCGUGUCCAAGCUCCUCACUUGCCAUGAUCUUUGGUGAAGUCUCACUUUCCUCUGGUUUCCUGGAGGAAGCUGAGUGGACACAGAGAGAACGCCGAUUUUGGAACUAAGGGUCCUGAAGAGAAGGGUCUCACCUGAAUAUCAGGCUGUAUGAUCACAUCUAUUAUUCCCAAACAGAAGACUGGGGUAAAACAUGGAAUGAUGUUCAUACCUUCAUUAUUCCAAGUGUUUAUUGUAUCCUAAUCAUUACAUGUGUAAUGAAACGUUAAAAGGGU